rnacentral:lncRNA from 1 species
GACCUAAGAGCGAAUGUGUGUUCGCGCGCGUUUGUGAGACUGUGUGUGUGAGACAAUGUACAUGAAGAGACUGUAUGUAUGUGUGUAUGUGUGUGAGAGAGACUGUGUGUGAAGAGUCUCUGUGUGUAUGAGAUUGUGUGUGAGACUGUUGGAGUGUGUGAGAGUGAUUAUGUACACAAUACACUGAGAGGUUUUUAAGAGAUUGUGUGAGUGUGUGUGUGAAAGUGUUAGUAAAGGAGUGUGUGAGAGAGACAGUGUGUGUAAGAGAGUGUGUUUGUGAGGGAGAGAGGAGAGCAUGUGUGUUGGGGUGUGUGUGUAAUACAGAGUUACACCCCAGCGGGAUGCCUCCGUUCUUCCCUGGAGCGGGAGCUGUUCCUGGGUGUGCUGUGGAUGCCUGUCCUGAAGAGCCGUCCAUCCUUUGCAAUGUUGUGACGGGCACACAGCUGGUCCUGAGAAGGCAUCAUACUGAGACAAGCAUGUGAGAUUGCAUUCAUUCCUGUUGAUAUGAUAUACCACAUGAAGAAAAACAAAACAAAACAAAAC